rnacentral:rRNA from 1 species
GAAUGCUGACAUAAGUAACGAUAAAGCGGGUGAAAAGCCCGCUCGCCGGAAGACCAAGGGUUCCUGUCCAACGUUAAUCGGGGCAGGGUGAGUCGACCCCUAAGGCGAGGCCGAAAGGCGUAGUCGAUGGGAAACGGGUUAAUAUUCCCGUACUUGGUGUUACUGCGAAGGGGGGACGGAGAAGGCUAUGUUGGCCGGGCGACGGUUGUCCCGGUUUAAGCGUGUAGGUGUGUGUUCCAGGUAAAUCCGGUUCACUUUAACACUGAGGCGUGACGACGAGGCACUACGGUGCUGAAGCAACAAAUGCCCUGCUUCCAGGAAAAGCCUCUAAGCAUCAGGUAACAUCAAAUCGUACCCCAAACCGACACAGGUGGUCAGGUAGAGAAUACCAAGGCGCUUGAGAGAACUCGGGUGAAGGAACUAGGCAAAAUGGUGCCGUAACUUCGGGAGAAGGCACGCUGACACGUAGGUGAAGUGAUUUACUCAUGGAGCUGAAGUCAGUCGAAGAUACCAGCUGGCUGCAACUGUUUAUUAAAAACACAGCACUGUGCAAACACGAAAGUGGACGUAUACGGUGUGACGCCUGCCCGGUGCCGGAAGGUUAAUUGAUGGGGUCAGCGCAAGCGAAGCUCCUGAUCGAAGCCCCGGUAAACGGCGGCCGUAACUAUAACGGUCCUAAGGUAGCGAAAUUCCUUGUCGGGUAAGUUCCGACCUGCACGAAUGGCGUAAUGAUGGCCAGGCUGUCUCCACCCGAGACUCAGUGAAAUUGAACUCGCUGUGAAGAUGCAGUGUACCCGCGGCAAGACGGAAAGACCCCGUGAACCUUUACUAUAGCUUGACACUGAACAUUGAGCCUUGAUGUGUAGGAUAGGUGGGAGGCUUUGAAGUGUGGACGCCAGUCUGCAUGGAGCCGACCUUGAAAUACCACCCUUUAAUGUUUGAUGUUCUAACGUGGACCCGUUACCCGGGUUGCGGACAGUGUCUGGUGGGUAGUUUGACUGGGGCGGUCUCCUCCUAAAGAGUAACGGAGGAGCACGAAGGUUGGCUAAUCCUGGUCGGACAUCAGGAGGUUAGUGCAAUGGCAUAAGCCAGCUUGACUGCGAGCGUGACGGCGCGAGCAGGUGCGAAAGCAGGUCAUAGUGAUCCGGUGGUUCUGAAUGGAAGGGCCAUCGCUCAACGGAUAAAAGGUACUCCGGGGAUAACAGGCUGAUACCGCCCAAGAGUUCAUAUCGACGGCGGUGUUUGGCACCUCGAUGUCGGCUCAUCACAUCCUGGGGCUGAAGUAGGUCCCAAGGGUAUGGCUGUUCGCCAUUUAAAGUGGUACGCGAGCUGGGUUUAGAACGUCGUGAGACAGUUCGGUCCCUAUCUGCCGUGGGCGCUGGAGAACUGAGGGGGGCUGCUCCUAGUACGAGAGGACCGGAGUGGACGCAUCACUGGUGUUCGGGUUGUCAUGCCAAUGGCACUGCCCGGUAGCUAAAUGCGGAAGAGAUAAGUGCUGAAAGCAUCUAAGCACGAAACUUGCCCCGAGAUGAGUUCUCCCUGAGACUUAAAGUCUCCUGAAGGAACGUUG